ACCAGGAUGGCCGAGUGGUUAAGGCGUUGGACUUAAGAUCCAAUGGAUGUUAAAUCCACGUGGGUUCGAACCCCACUCCUGGUA
rnacentral:tRNA from 1 species